rnacentral:rRNA from 1 species
UGGGGAAUAUUGGACAAUGGGCGCAAGCCUGAUCCAGCCAUGCCGCGUGAGUGAUGAAGGCCUUAGGGUUGUAAAGCUCUUUCGCCGACGAAGAUAAUGACGGUAGUCGGAGAAGAAGCCCCGGCUAACUUCGUGCCAGCAGCCGCGGUAAUACGAAGGGGGCUAGCGUUGUUCGGAAUCACUGGGCGUAAAGCGCACGUAGGCGGAUUGUUAAGUCAGGGGUGAAAGCCUGGAGCUCAACUCCAGAACUGCCCUUGAUACUGGCAAUCUCGAGUCCGGAAGAGGUAAGUGGAACUGCGAGUGUAGAGGUGAAAUUCGUAGAUAUUCGCAAGAACACCAGUGGCGAAGGCGGCUUACUGGUCCGGUACUGACGCUGAGGUGCGAAAAGCGUGGGGAGCAAAACAGGAUUAGAUACCCUGGUAGUCCACGCCGUAAACGAUGGAGGCUAGCCGUUGGCGAGCAUGCUCGUCAGUGGCGCAGCUAACGCAUUAAGCCUCCCGCCUGGGGAGUACGGUCGCAAGAUUAAAAACUUAAAGGAAUUGACGGGGUCAUAGCUGUUUCCU